rnacentral:rRNA from 1 species
AGAGUUUGAUCCUGGCUCAGAGCGAACGUUAGCGGCGGGCCUAACACAUGCAAGUCGAGCGAGAAAGGGACUUCGGUCCUGAGUAAAGCGGCGGACGGGUGAGUAACACGUAGGUAAUCUUCCCUUGAGCGGGGGACAACGGUCCGAAAGGACCGCUAAUACCGCAUACGUUUCCGAGGAUCUCGGUCCUUGGAAGGAAAGCUAGGUCGCAAGAUCCGGCACUCGAGGAGGAGCCUGCGUCGCAUCAGCUAGUUGGUGGGGUAAUGGCCUACCAAGGCGAAGACGCGUAGCUGGUCUGAGAGGAUGAUCAGCCACACUGGGACUGAGACACGGCCCAGACUCCUACGGGAGGCAGCAGUGGGGAAUAUUGGACAAUGGGCGCAAGCCUGAUCCAGCCACGCCGCGUGAGUGAUGAAGGCCUUCGGGUCGUAAAGCUCUGUGGGGAGGGACGAACCGCUGCACGUUCAUAGCGUGCAGCAUGACGGUACCUCCUUAGCAAGCACCGGCUAACUUCGUGCCAGCAGCCGCGGUAAUUC